rnacentral:tRNA from 1 species
GCCUGGUUGACUCAGUUGGUAGAGUGUGUGACUCGUGAUGUCAGUGUAGUGAGUUCGAACCCCACAUUGGGUG